AUGUUGUCUGUAGCUCUGCUGCUGCUGCUGGCUGCUGGAUCCUGUGUGUACAGUAUUGAUCUGAUCCAGCCAGACUCAGUGGUUGUGCAGCCUGGACAGUCUUUGUCCAUCACCUGUCAGGCCUCUGGCUAUGCCUUGACUGAUAACAGCUAUGCAACAGGUUGGGUCAGACACUGUAAAGGAAAACCAAUGGACUGGAUUUUCCAUCAGUGGGGUGGAGGCAGCUUUUCUCAAAAUGAUGCUCUGAAGAACAAGUUCAGCUCCAGCAGAGACACUUCUGCUGGAACGGUGACUAUGAAAGGGCAGAAUCUGCAGCCUGAGGACACAGCUGUGUAUUACUGUGUUCACCGUCCCACAGAGAUACAAACCAGAGAUAACAGCAACAGCAUGGUGUAUAUGAGACUGUCCAACUUACAGCCAGAGGACUCUGCAGUGUAUUUCUGUGCCAAAGAGCCACAGUGA